GACGAACCGUGCGAACGUUGUUCGGAUUCACUGGGCUUAAAGGGCGCGUAGGCGGGUUGUCAAGUCAGGGGUGAAAGCCUCCAGCUCAACUGGAGAAGUGCCUUUGAUACUGAUGAUCUUGAGGGAGGUAGGGGCAUGUGGAACUUCCGGUGGAGCGGUGAAAUGCGUAGAUAUCGGAAGGAACACCGGUGGCGAAGGCGGGUCUCUGGGCCGUAACUGACGCUGAGGAGCGAAAGCGUGGGGAGCGAACAGG
rnacentral:rRNA from 1 species